rnacentral:rRNA from 1 species
UACAGAGGUCCCAAGCGUUGUUCGGAUUCAUUGGGCGUAAAGGGUGCGUAGGCGGCGCGGGAAGUCGGGGGUGAAAUCUCGGAGCUUAACUCCGAAACUGCAUUCGAUACUGCCGUGCUUGAGGACUGGAGAGGAGACUGGAAUUUACGGUGUAGCGGUGAAAUGCGUAGAUAUCGUAAGGAAGACCAGUGGCGAAGGCGGGUCUCUGGACAGUUCCUGACGCUGAGGCACGAAGGCCAGGGGAGCAAACGGG